rnacentral:rRNA from 1 species
GGGUUGUGAGGUUAAGCGACUAAGCGUACACGGUGGAUGCCCUGGCAGUCAGAGGCGAUGAAGGACGUGCUAAUCUGCGAUAAGCGUCGGUAAGGUGAUAUGAACCGUUAUAACCGGCGAUUUCCGAAUGGGGAAACCCAGUGUGAUUCGUCACACUAUCAUUACGUGAAUCCAUAGCGUAAUGAAGCGAACCGGGGGAACUGAAACAUCUAAGUACCCCGAGGAAAAGAAAUCAACCGAGAUUCCCCCAGUAGCGGCGAGCGAACGGGGAGCAGCCCAGAGUCUGAAUCAGCUUGUGUGUUAGUGGAACGGUCUGGAAAGUCCGACGGUACAGGGUGAUAGUCCCGUACACCAAAAUGCACAGGUUGUGAACUCGAAGAGUAGGGCGGGACACGUGGUAUCCUGUCUGAAUAUGGGGGGACCAUCCUCCAAGGCUAAAUACUCCUGACUGACCGAUAGUGAACCAGUACCGUGAGGGAAAGGCGAAAAGAACCCCGGCGAGGGGAGUGAAAAAGAACCUGAAACCGUGUACGUACAAGCAGUGGGAGCCUCUUUAUGGAAACCGUGUACGUACAAGCAGUGGGAGCCUACUUGUUAGGUGACUGCGUACCUUUUGUAUAAUGGGUCAGCGACUUAUAUUCUGUAGCAAGGUUAACCGAAUAGGGGAGCCGAAGGGAAACCGAGUCUUAACUGGGCGUUAAGUUGCAGGGUAUAGACCCGAAACCCGGUGAUCUAGCCAUGGGCAGGUUGAAGGUUGGGUAACACUAACUGGAGGACCGAACCGACUAAUGUUGAAAAAUUAGCGGAUGACUUGUGGCUGGGGGUGAAAGGCCAAUCAAACCGGGAGAUAGCUGGUUCUCCCCGAAAGCUAUUUAGGUAGCGCCUCGUGAAUUCAUCUUCGGGGGUAGAGCACUGUUUCGGCUAGGGGGUCAUCCCGACUUACCAACCCGAUGCAAACUGCGAAUACCGAAGAAUGUUAUCACGGGAGACACACGGCGGGUGCUAACGUCCGUCGUGAAGAGGGAAACAACCCAGACCGCCAGCUAAGGUCCCAAAGUCACAGUUAAGUGGGAAACGAUGUGGGAAGGCACAGACAGCCAGGAUGUUGGCUUAGAAGCAGCCAUCAUUUAAAGAAAGCGUAAUAGCUCACUGGUCGAGUCGGCCUGCGCGGAAGAUGUAACGGGGCUAAACUGUGCACCGAAGCUGCGGCAGCGACACUAUGUGUUGUUGGGUAGGGGAGCGUUCUGUAAGCCGUUGAAGGUGUGUCGUGAGGCAUGCUGGAGGUAUCAGAAGUGCGAAUGCUGACAUAAGUAACGAUAAUGCGGGUGAAAAACCCGCACGCCGGAAGACCAAGGGUUCCUGUCCAACGUUAAUCGGGGCAGGGUGAGUCGACCCCUAAGGCGAGGCCGAAAGGCGUAGUCGAUGGGAAACAGGUUAAUAUUCCUGUACUUGGUGUUACUGCGAAGGGGGGACGGAGAAGGCUAUGUUAGCCGGGCGACGGUUGUCCCGGUUUAAGCAUGUAGGCGGAGAUUCCAGGUAAAUCCGGAGUCUUGCUAACGCUGAGGUGUGAUGACGAGGCACUACGGUGCUGAAGUAACAAAUGCCCUGCUUCCAGGAAAAGCCUCUAAGCAUCAGGUAACACGAAAUCGUACCCCAAACCGACACAGGUGGUCAGGUAGAGAAUACCAAGGCGCUUGAGAGAACUCGGGUGAAGGAACUAGGCAAAAUGGUGCCGUAACUUCGGGAGAAGGCACGCUGAUAUGUAGGUGAAG